rnacentral:rRNA from 1 species
CCUACGGGAGGCAGCAGUGGGGAAUAUUGCACAAUGGGCGGAAGCCUGAUGCAGCGACGCCGCGUGAGUGAAGAAUGGCCUCGGCGCGUAAAGCCCUGUCAUCAGGGAAGAAAAUAACGGUACGUGAAGAAGCAGGCCCGGCUAACAACGUGCCAGCAGGCGUGGUAAUACGUCGGUGGCACGGUUUAUACGGAAUUACUGGGUGUAAAGGGGGCGGAGACGGGUAUGCAAGGCUGGUGGGAAAGCCUGGGGUCUAAACCUGGGCGUUCAGUGGAAACUGUGUGGCUGGAGUGCAGGAGAGGAAGGCGGAAUUCGUGGGGUAGCGGUGAAAUGCGUAGAUAUAAGGAGGAACACCGGUGGCGAAGGCGGCUUGCGGGACUGCAACUGACGUUGAGGCGCGAAAGCGUGGGGAGCAAACAGGAUUAGAUACCCGUGUAGUC